rnacentral:rRNA from 1 species
CCCAUGGUUUUUAUGUCCCCCAAUUAUCGCUGAAAGAUGGCCUCGCGUCUGAUUAGCUAGUUGGUGAGGUAACCGCCCACCAAGGCGACGAUCAGUAGCCGGACUGAUACGUUGACCGGCCACAUUGGGACUGAGAUACGGCCCAGACUCCUACGGGAGGCAGCAUUUUUUUAAUAUUGGGCAAUGGGCGCAAGCCUGACCCACCAACGCCGCGUGAAGGAAGAAGGCUUUCGGGUUGUAAACUU